CUGACGGCAUUCCUGGCAGCAAGGAUUGAAAGACAUGGUCCAUAUUGUGGCAACCAAGACACAAAUAAAGAACAAAUGGGACAACAAAUGGGACAUGUUGAAAGAAUUCAAGGCAUGGAAGAAGUUGAUGAGGCAGACAUGUACUGCAUCACAAGUAUUGGUGUUGAUCAUUGGUCUCCUCAUAUGGCCACUGCUUCCACCAUUGCUGAACAAGGAGCAGAAGCAGUUGGAGAGUUUGGUAAAUCUACUGGCAGAGACAAACAGUGA
rnacentral:misc_RNA from 1 species